rnacentral:miRNA from 1 species
UGUAGACACAGAGGGAUGAUUC